ACUUCCUGAAGGGGAUCAGCUGAUCUUUGAGCAGUCUUAUUAAGAACUAAAGAUCUGACUUUUUAGUUCAGCGAUCUCUUGAUCAAGAUGGUGGAGCUGGCCUUCUACCCGGCCGUGGCGCUGAUGUAUUUCUUCGCAGUGAUGCGGGCUUCAAAGGAAAACCUUGUGGAGCUGGACGACAGGGCCUCCCUCAACGUCUUCUGUCUGUUCGUGUUGUGCCAGCCGCUGUGUCUCGUCGUGGGUAGCUACACCGGCAUGCUCAUGUACCUCAUCACCGCGCUGGUGUCCUACUACUUCCUGCCCUGGAUUGCCACAGCGGCGGCGGAGGACAAGGGCGCCAAAGACGGCAAACCGUCAAAAAAGAAGAAACGUGAGAAGAUGAACUGAGGAGGAAAGUAGGAGGUGGAAGAAGCAGGUGACACAAAGAGCAUUUCUCAAGAGGAAGCUUCCAGAAGGAACCUAACUGGAAUAAAGCGUGGCCUCAAGGAUGUUGUUCUUCUUGUUCAUCCUGGAGUGAAGGACAUGAUGUUGGACUUUGGACUUCAGACACAUUAUACCUUGGAAUCAUUCGUCAGAAUGUACAACCUUUGGCGGUGAAAAGCACGAUACGCAUAGGAACAUGCUAUUAGCAAGAUGUAAUCUAUAGACCAACCUGUGUCAAAGCCUUUGAUUUCCCGUUGGUAUUCAAUUAAUUCAUGUAUCCUGGUUAAGCCUGCUAUAUCUUGGUGUGUGUAUGCAGGGUGUACCCCACAGAGAGAGAGAGAGAGAGAGAGAGAGAGAGAGAGAGAGAGAGAGAGAGAGAGAGAGAGAGAGAGAGAGAGAGAGAGAGAGAGGAUUAGGCCGAGCUAGCUGAUAACCAGCAACUUGUUUCGCUGGCCGUGCCCGGAUGCUCUCAGUGUGAAUUCCUAAGACCCCUUUGAUGGGACUGAGCAUAGUUUGAACAUGUCUAAUUACUUUUGGUUGUCUCAAGGAUGUGUGUGUGUGUGUGUGUGUGUGUGUGUGUGUGUGUGUGUGUGUGUGUGUGUGUGUGUGUGUGUGUGUGUGUGUGUGUGUGUGUGUGUGUGUGUGUGUGUGUGCAUUAUUUUCUCAUAAACUCUUCCCUUUGUUUAUCUAUCUUGUCAUUAAUUGUUUUGCUUUUGCUGUUUCAAAAUAAGAGGUUUACUACUUACAGAAUAUGCAUAACUAAAUUGUGGUUAGGGCUAGGGUGAGGCUACUUCCUUGUCUACUCUCUCUGCUGCAGCUUAUUUAAUAAAAAAUGAAAAGAAAAAUGAACACCUUUUGUCUCAACCACACCGCUCUAGAUGCACAUCAUGCAUGUUUUUAAGGGAACAAUACAUUGUGUCUCCAUUGGUUUAGCAGACUAUAUGCAACAUUAUUUGAAGCACAGUAUUCAUGCAGUAUUUUAUCCAUCAUGUCAGCUAGUGCUGUCAGAUUUACAUACAAUUGGGGCAGGCUACUUAGCUGAACAAGGAGAAUAAAGGGGUCCCCUAAUUAUGAGAGCAAUUAUCCAACACAGGAUUUUUCUCAUCAAUAACACACCUGGGUACAAAUUGCACUAUACAAAAGUAAGCCUCUUGAAUUUUAGCUUUAACUACUUUAUGGCAAAUAAAUAAAUAAAUAUAUAUAUAUAUAUAUUGGUAUUUCCUAUGCUGACACAUUUGAGACUGCAUAAGCCUAUCUGUUACGGUUUGCGUGUAUGUUCUGGAUAUGUGUGCGUAUGCAUGUGAGUGUGUAUGCUAUGAGUGACGCCACAAAAUGGUGUUUGGUUUCCUCGCCGGCUUUAAUGGCAGUCAUACAUCAACGUCCGAGUGUCUGCUACCACGGUGGGGAGAAACACAGGCCCAAGGAACAGUUAAUGAUUACAGUUUGCAAAACGGGAAAUAGAGAGAUAUGCAUCAAGAGUCCUGAGAAGCCCAGAGGAAAGAAGAAUGUAGCACUUCCGUUUCCCUCCCUUUUUCCCGGACUAGCAUUUAAAUGGCCUUAUAGUGCAGACAGAGGGAACACUAUUAAGAGACGGAAGAAGAACUGUGACAUUUGCACAUGGCCAGGCAAACAGAGCCCUUUAUUAGUGCAGUCACAUUAUUCAUCAUUCAUACACAAACACAUUCUCAAGUCAGAACUGUCUUGAAAACAUGACAAACAAUAUCUGGGUUAUUAUUUCCUGAACAGCAAAUUAAUACUAUCAUCAAAUCAAGAUGAUAGUAUUAAAUAAACUGUUUACCGAGAAAGGAAAAUAGGCUGCAAAACAAUAGAAAAAAAUGAUGCUGUGGUGCCCUUUAGCACAAAUAUUCCUGGCAUACCGUUCGCCAUCAGGCUGUACCCCAUCAGGCUGUACCCCUCAAGCUGUGUCAUAUCAGGCUGUAUCAGGCUGAUUCCAUAAGGCUUUACCCCAUCAGGCUGUAUCAUGCUGUAUCCAUCAGGCUGUAUCCAUCAUGCUGUAUCCUAUCAGGCUGUAUCAUGCUGUAUCCAUCUGGCUGUAUCCCGUCAUGCUGUAUCCUAUCACGUUGUAUCCAUCAUGCUGUAUCCAUCAUGCUGUAUCCUAUCAGGCUGUAUCAUGCUGUAUCCAUCAGGCUGUAUCAUGCUGUAUCCAUCAGGCUGUAUCAUGCUGUAUCCAUCGGGCUGUAUCCCGUCAUGCUGUAUCCCGUCAUGCUGUAUCCUAUCACGUUGUAUCCAUCAUGCGGUAUCCAUCGGGCUGUAUCCCGUCAUGCUCCUAUCACAUUGUACCCAUCAGGCUGUACCCAUCAGGCCGUUUCCCUGCAGCCACCCAAAAGGUCCAUUUAUAAGAUAUUCUGCCUACACCUUGGUACGUGAAUAGUGUUACGAGUCUUCAAACGUUUUUUCAUAAGUCAUAACUACAGUGGCCUUGACCUGUCAAAUAAACAGCACAUCCCAACGUUUUUUUUAAUUCAACAGUCACCAGCAAAUUAUCGGAUGAAUACAAAACUCA
ensembl:lncRNA